rnacentral:misc_RNA from 1 species
CCUUUUAGGGAGCGAGCCGUCUAAGGUGGGACAAAUGAUUAGGGUGAAGUCGUAACAAGGUAGCCGUAGGAAAACCUGCGGCUGGAUCACCUCCUUUCUAAGGAAACAGACUGAAAGUCUGACGGAAACCUGCACACACGAAACUUUGUUUAGUUUUGAGAGC